GGGUCGCUAGCUCAAUUGGCAGAGCUCCGGACUUUUAAUCCGUAGGCUGUGGGUUCGAGUCCCACGCGACCCACCA
rnacentral:tRNA from 6 species